ensembl:lncRNA
GUUUGGGCUUGGAGAUUUCCAGCAUUUCAGUGUGUGCACGUUUGGGUUGGGUUCAGACUGAGAUUCUUCUGUAUAUACUAAUGCACAGUAUAUCCAUCCAUCCAUUUUCUGUACCGCUUAUCCAGGCUCACAGGGAACCUGGAGCCUAUCCCAGGAGGAAUGGGGCACAAGGCAGGGGACAUCCUGGAUGGGGUGCAAGUCCAUUGCAGGGCGCAAUCACACCUACAUUCACAAAUUACGGACACUUUUGGAUAUGCCAAUCAGCCUACAAUGCAUGUCUUCGGACUGGCGGAGGAAACCGGAGUAUCUGGAGGUAACCCCGAAGCACGGGGAGAACAUACAAUCUCCGGUGCGAGGCGAACGUUCUAACCACUAAGCCACCGUGCCCCCCAAUAUACACAGAUUUUUUCCAGCAUUAUUUUGCUGACAGGAUUAGCCUAUAUUUCCCCAUUGCAGCCGUGACCCUAUGUUGCCCUCCAGAAAAUAUUAAUGAACAUUGCUAACACUGCAUACGUCUACUUUGAUGUCAGAGGCACGUAAAAUCUUGGAACUCGACCAGCGCGAGCUCAGUCUUUCUGGCUCAAACUGAAUCUCGGCAGAUUUUGACGUCAGAAUAACCAGAACGAGUCGGAUUCUGCGCCUAGAUCCCCACGUGCUCGCAUUCCUGCUUCUUGUCCCUCCCCCGCUUCCUGUGCCGCUAAGCUCUCCGCGUGCCUCACCAGUGGGGAAUGUUCAGGAGCUCGAACUGCCACACUUCAAAUCACCAGCUGUCAGUCAGACCUAAAUGGAAUAUUAAACAUAUGGAACAUAAUUGCACAACAAGAAAAUACUGACAUCCUACCUUGUUUUGGACUUGUUUUUAGUCUGGAAUAGCCUGCUAGGCUACAGUGGCACAGGAAACGUCUAAACCUUCCACUGACAAACUUCAAUAAUCACGUCAGCCAAAAAUAAAUAUUUUGGAUACAUUUCUGACAAGAUAAUCACAUAAACUAAGCAGAUUCCUUUUUUAUUGUUUUGUUUUUUUUGUUCACUUGCAUCCAUCAUCCACCAAAAGAGAUUUCUUGCCUCACAAGUCAAAACCUGGACUUAUUUAAUGUUAAAAAGGAAUAAAUCUGAGAGCCUUACUAUAAAGAGGUCUGGGGAACUUUGUCUUGCUGAAGAGGUUAUGAAAAAAAGAACAGCAAAUCAGAUACAACAGACCUUGUGUAUAAUUUUAAUAUGAGUUCACUAGUAGAGUGUCUCACGCACACCCGGACUUCGUGAAUCGCCGAAGCUAACCCCCCAUCGCCUGUACUCUUAAAACUCGAAAUUUCAUCAAGUGAGAGUGAGAAGAAUCACACAGUCUGGAGUGUCUGACACACCAUCAGGC